CAUUCCAUUUCCAGCAACCCCUUCGUUACCAAUGAAAACCAAAUUCCACUUGCCAGUUGCCGUCCAUUUCGAAACCAACGAACGGUCUCGAUCCAUCCAGUUCUUCUCCAGCUCCUCCAGCUCCUCCUCUUCCUCCUCCGUCGUUACUCCAUUUUAAUGGCCGUUCCUUGAAUUUCCAUUUCUCUCUCUCAUUACUUUACAUUGCCACUAUAAUACGCCAUUCAUUCAACCACCGUAUACUUGAUCUUUUCUUUUUUUUUCCCUUUCUUCACCAUACCCAUUUUCUCUCUUUUCGCUUUUCACACCCCUGGGCCCGGUUUCCUUUUCAACUUCGAUCAUCGCUCUCUCGCCGUUUUCUUCAGGAUGGGAGGAGUUCACUUAAUCUUCGCAUGUGGUUUCAAUGCCAUUUUAGGGUUAGCGAUGUGACGAGAGAGAGAUUGAUUGAUUUCUUUUCGGUUUUUUGGCAUUGUUUUCUACUUAAGUUUGUUGUGAUUUUCGUUUGGAGUGAAAUGUGAGGAAAUGUCUAUUUCAGAAUGCGACUGCCAGAUGUAAAAUGUGUUAUAGAUUGUUGUCAAGGCGUUUAGGUAAAAUUGGACCCAAGGAACUCCAUCUGAUUGUUUAUUGAGUAUUGUGGAAAUCAAUGUCUGCUCAAAAUGCCCAGCAUCAGAGCACCCGGAGCGAAGAAAUCCACGACUCUGACUGUUGCAGUGAAAUGCCGUCCUCUAAGGGAGAGAGAGCGUGGCCGUGAUAUUGUCAGAGUAAUUGAAAGCAAGGAGGUGCUUAUCCUCGAUCCUGACCUGUCGAAGGAUUACCUCGACCGCAUACAGAACCGAACGAAGGAGAAACAAUACUGUUUCGACCAUGCAUUUGGUCCAGAAAGUACUAAUCAGGAAGUCUACACAAAAAGUAUAUCUUCCAUAAUACCUGGAGUUGUUCAAGGUCUGAACGUGACUGUCUUUGCCUAUGGCUCAACUGGAAGUGGUAAAACAUACACAAUGGUUGGGACCAAAGAUGACCCUGGACUCAUGGUGCUCAGUUUGCAUACUGUAUUCGAUCUUAUAAAAAAGGACAAGCGGUCUGAUGAAUUUGAAGUUACUUGCUCAUAUCUUGAAGUCUAUAAUGAAGUAAUAUACGAUUUGCUUGAAAAAUCAUCUGGUCAUUUAGAACUUAGAGAGGAUCCUGAGCAAGGAAUAACUGUUGCUGGGCUUAGGUGUAUCAAGGUUCGUUCUGCAGAUAAAAUUCUUGAACUUUUGAACAUGGGUAAUAGUCGAAGGAAAACAGAUUGCACAGAGGUAAAUGCUACCUCUUCAAGAUCACAUGCAGUUUUGGAGAUUAGUGUGAAAAGAAAGCAAAGAAACAAAUAUUCAAAUCAGGUCUUGCAUGGGAAACUUGCACUUGUAGAUCUUGCUGGUAGUGAACGGGCUACUGAGACAAAUAAUGCUGGCCAAAAAUUGAGGGAUGGAGCUAACAUUAAUCGUUCACUCCUUGCUUUAGCAAACUGCAUAAAUGCGUUGGGAAAACAACAGAAAAAAGGUCUCGCUUAUGUCCCUUACCGGAACAGUAAAUUGACACGAAUUUUGAAAGAUGGUUUAAGUGGUAAUUCUCAGACUGUGAUGAUUGCUACGAUAUCACCUGCAGAUGUUCAGUAUCAUCAUACUGUGAAUACGUUGAAAUAUGCUGACCGAGCAAAGGAAAUUAAGACACACGUCCAGAAAAACAUUGGAGCGGUAGACACCCAUGUAUCAGACUACCAACGGAUGAUCGAUAGUCUUCAGACUGAGGUUUGUCAAUUGAAAAAGAAACUUGCUGAAAAGGAAUCCCAGCUCAGUAGUAAACCUGUGGAAAAAGCAGCAGAUGAUGAGUUGUCUUGGUUGGAUAUCGUAAGUCAUGAAAUAAGCGAGAACGUUCAGGAAAGAAUAAACUUACAGAAGGCUAUGUCAGAGCUAGAAGAAACCAACCUUAAUAAUCGCUCAGAACUUCAACGACUUGAUGACAUUAUUGCAAGACAUCAGGCUAUUGAAAUGGAUGGAGCAAUCGUAGAGGAUUUGAUUUCCCGACGGCUAGUGAUUUUAGAUAACAUUCGUGACAAUGAUGAAGCAGGAAUUAAUUAUCAGAAGGAAAUUGAAGCAAAUGAAAAGCAUCGGUGUCAACUUCAAGGCAUGAUUGACGAUGCUGUUAGUAGAAAUGGGAACAAAACCUAUUUGCAGAUACUUAGUCAGUAUAGACUGCUGGGAAUGGCUAAUUCCGAGCUUCAGUUAGAGAUGGCAAUGAGAGAUCAAGUCAUUCACAAUCAGCGAGAAUCUCUGAAAAACUUGUGGAACCUGCUCAUGGGACUGGGACUUGACGAGAAACAGAUAUUUCACCUUGCAGCCAAGCAGGGUUUGACAAUUGAAGGCUGGACAAUGACUUCUUCUCUGGGGCUUCUUGAAAAGCAGUCAGCCAAUCUCUCUUCUAGUAGAUCUACAUCAGUUGGCCCAUCUUCUGGAAUAGAGGAGGGAAACCAGAACUGUGACUUUCCAUGUCCCGACUUCUCACCACCAGCAUAUUUAAGGGGGAGGAAUGUCGAUGCAAAGCCAACUAUGUCGUUUGGUUCUCCUGAAAAGUAUCCUCAAGAUCUUUACAAGUCGUAUCUGGAUAUGACAAGUCAUGCUUCUCAUGGUGGGAGCUGCAUGUCAUCAUCAUCUGUAGUUGGGGAUUUAUCGAGCAGCAGAAGAGAUCAAAUUGGAUUAUUUUUCACUCAUUGAGAGCCUUUCUGAUGACGCUUACCAAAGCCUCGCUUCUUCUGGUCAUCCUUCUUUUCAUGGGGACGAAGGCAUAUAGCAACAUCUAUUACUAGAAAAUCAUCAAGCAACCCAAGAAAUGAAUACAUCCCAGCCCAUUCACGUGGCUUUAAAAUAAGCUUCAUGAAUUGCUGUUGAAAACAAGCUCUUGGAUCUGGCAUGCUUUGCUCCAUUUUCUGCUAGCCGGUAAGGGUGCCCAUUGGUUUUGCUUUAACAACCCUGAUCAUGGAGGCUAGACCUCGGCUGUUUUGUAGGACAAAGAACUGAUGACAUUACAUUUUUUUUUUUUUUUUUAUAAAAGUCAACUGUAAAUGUGGAGACUUGCAGCAUCUUGUGAUGAAGCGAUAUGCUUGAUAUGCUUGUUAUUGACUCGUAAAUUUCUUUUUCCUCUUCCAUUAGUCAAUAGCACCAACAUAGCUAAGUAAUAUGGGUGCUAUUUUGCCUGUAUAUAUACUAUUGAUGUAAAUACUCUUGGACGGUAUGACAUUUUUUUGAAUUGUAAAGUGAUUUACUUAAUUUUAAUUUUUA